AACAGAUGACGAAAAUGAGUUCUGGGAGAAAGUGAGUGUGGCGGAGGAGAGGAAAGAAGCUAUGGUGGUGCUGUGGUGUUCUCAGUUGAAGAUUCUGUCUCACUCGUCUGUAGGGUGCUUUGUGUCACACUCCAACAAAGAAAAACAGAAGCAGGAAGGACACUGAAGUGGCAUAUGCAGAAGGACAGAGAAGUUUACAUUUUCUUCAUUCUUCUUUUCACUUCUCUGAUAUUCCAUUGUAUUAAAGAAGUCUUGUACUAAGAAAGAUUUGAUUCACAACUUAGAAAAUCACAAAGCAACAAUAUUUUUGUGAAUACAAAUUCCUCAUGUUUGAAGUAAUCAAA